rnacentral:rRNA from 1 species
GAUGAACGCUGGCGGCGCGCCUAACACAUGCAAGUCGAACGAUUAAAGCACCUUCGGGUGUGUAUAAAGUGGCGAACGGCUGAGUAACACGUGGGCAACCUGCCCCUCUCAUUGGGAUAGCCACGGGAAACCGUGGAUAAUACCGAAUACUUCGGGACUUCCGCAUGGAAGACUCGAGAAAGCUCCGGCGGAGAGGGAUGGGCGGGCGGCCUGUUAGCUUGUUGGUGGGGUAAUGGCCUACCAAGGCAAUGAUGGGGAGCUGGGUUGAGAGACCGGCCAGCAGGAGGGGAAUGAAGAGAGGCCCCAGCCCCCAAGGGGGGACAACGGGGGGAAGUCUGCACCAGGGGUAGAGGGCGGGUGGAGGCGCCCCGGGGGGGGGAAAGACGGCUUGCGGGUUGAGAAACGCUUCAAGCAGAGACGGGGCGAAUGUGACGGUACCGAAAGAAUAAGCCCCGGCUAACUCCGUG